UGAAUCCCUAAAAACGUGAAUUUUUUAAACUCCUUUCAACCAAGAUGAACACGGCAAUCCUCGAUAAUUUGGAAAGGCAAAGCAAUUCUUCGAAAGCCUAUAUGUUUCAAAAAAAGCAAUUCUUCUUAAGCCUAUAUUCUUGAUAAUCGUUACAGAAAUUCUUGAGUUGAAAGUUACAUCCUCCCCAUCAAAUUGAGAUUUCGAAAGCCUAUAUGUUUCAAACAAUCCAUCUCCUCCAUGGACAACAAUUCGCAACCUAUUAUUCGUUUUCUGUUGAUGCAGCAAAUUUUCCUUUGACAGGUUAUGGUUCUUAUCUCUACGUAUUAUUUUGACCACUUUCAAGACAUCGUUGGAUCGUUCCUUUUUAUCACUACUCGUUCCAAAAGAAUGAUGUUGAUGAGACGAACGCUUCUUUCUGACACCAAUAGAAGCAACUUUCUGCAGAUAAUCCUCAGAUAACACUUUGUGCCUAUUUCUGAUGCCAGCAGUGUUAUUAUCCGAGAUGGUUCUUCGUUGAUGUCGAGUGAACGAACGACGGUUCAAUCGCAGAACCGUUGAGCACCGAGAAGAAGGUAUGUGAGUUCAACUAUGGAAGCUGUUUGGCAAUUAGCAGUGGAACACAUCAUAGACGGUAUGUGAGUUAAAGGAUCGAUAGUGUUUGUCA